GGUGAGGUGUCCGAGUGGCUGAAGGAGCACGCCUGGAAAGUGUGUAUACGGCAACGUAUCGGGGGUUCGAAUCCCAAUCCCACCCUCACCGCCA
rnacentral:tRNA from 1 species